UGAAGGCAUGAAUAAGAAGGCUUAGGCUGGAGUUUGCCAUGUGAUAUUUGGAGUGUUGGUUGCAUCCUCGUUGAGCUAUGCUCGGGGGAGACAUUGUUUCAGACACAUGAGAACCUGGAACACCUAGCAAUGAUGGAGAGGGUUUUGGGACCCAUACCAGAGAGCACAUGAUACGGAAGGCUAGAUAUGUGAUACCUGGAGGGCGGAUCUUGUACGCCGUUGAAGCUGGC